UCGGAGACGGUGCUCGCGCGGGCGGUGAUGCGACACGCGUAUCCGAAAGACUCUCGGCAAUGGAUAUCUCGGCUCUUGCAUCGAUGAAGAACGUAGCGAAAUGCGAUACUUGGUGUGAAUUGCAGAAUCCCGUGAACCAUCGAGUCUUUGAACGCAAGUUGCGCCCGAAGCCAUUAGGCCGAGGGCACGCCUGCCUGGGUGUCGCCCAUCGUUGCCCCAUUGCCCUGGCCUCGUGCUAGGCACCGAGUUGGGCGAAUGCUGGCUUCCCGCGAGCAAUGCCUCACGGUUGGUUGAAAACUGAGUCCGUGGUGGAGGGCGCCGUGACGGAUGGUGGUUGA
rnacentral:rRNA from 1 species